GAUGAACGCUGGCGGCGUGCUUAACACAUGCAAGUCGAACGGAAAGGCCCUGCUUUUGUGGGGUGCUCGAGUGGCGAACGGGUGAGUAUCACGUGUGUAACCUGCCCUUGACUUUGGGAUAACUUCAGGAAAAUGGGGCUCAUACCGGAUAGGAGCUCCUGCUGCAUGGUGGGGGUUGGAAAGUUUCGGCGGUUGGGGAUGGACUCGCGGCUUAUCAGCUUGUUGGUGUGGUAGUGGCUUACCAAGGCUUCGACGGGUAGCCGGCCUGAGAGGGUGACCGGCCACAAUGGGACUGAGAUACGGCCCAGAAGCCUACGGGAGGCAGCAGGGGGGAAUAUUGCGCAAUGGGCGGAAGCCUGAUGCAGCAACGCCGCGUGCGUGAUGACGGCCUUCGGGUUGUAAACCGCUUUCGCCGGUGACGAAGCGUGAGUGACGGUAAUGGGUAAAGAAGCACCGGCUAACUACGUG
rnacentral:rRNA from 1 species